GAACUCUGGUAUUGAUUGGUGCUUGCAUCAUGAUUUACAUUUGAGUGAGUGGCGAACUGGUGAGUAACACGUGGGAAACCUGCCCAGAAGCGGGGGAUAACACCUGGAAACAGAUGCUAAUACCGCAUAACAACUUGGACCGCAUGGUCCGAGUUUGAAAGAUGGCUUCGGCUAUCACUUUUGGAUGGUCCCGCGGCGUAUUAGCUAGAUGGUGAGGUAACGGCUCACCAUGGCAAUGAUACGUAGCCGACCUGAGAGGGUAAUCGGCCACAUUGGGACUGAGACACGGCCCAAACUCCUACGGGAGGCAGCAGUAGGGAAUCUUCCACAAUGGACGAAAGUCUGAUGGAGCAACGCCGCGUGAGUGAAGAAGGGUUUCGGCUCGUAAAACUCUGUUGUUAAAGAAGAACAUAUCUGAGAGUAACUGUUCAGGUAUUGACGGUAUUUAACCAGAAAGCCACGGCUAACUACGUGCCAGCAGCCGCGGUAAUACGUAGGUGGCAAGCGUUGUCCGGAUUUAUUGGGCGUAAAGCGAGCGCAGGCGGUUUUUUAAGUCUGAUGUGAAAGCCUUCGGCUCAACCGAAGAAGUGCAUCGGAAACUGGGAAACUUGAGUGCAGAAGAGGACAGUGGAACUCCAUGUGUAGCGGUGAAAUGCGUAGAUAUAUGGAAGAACACCAGUGGCGAAGGCGGCUGUCUGGUCUGUAACUGACGCUGAGGCUCGAAAGUAUGGGUAGCAAACAGGAUUAGAUACCCUGGUAGUCCAUACCGUAAACGAUGAAUGCUAAGUGUUGGAGGGUUUCCGCCCUUCAGUGCUGCAGCUAACGCAUUAAGCAUUCCGCCUGGGGAGUACGGCCGCAAGGCUGAAACUCAAAGGAAUUGACGGGGGCCCGCACAAGCGGUGGAGCAUGUGGUUUAAUUCGAAGCUACGCGAAGAACCUUACCAGGUCUUGACAUACUAUGCAAAUCUAAGAGAUUAGACGUUCCCUUCGGGGACAUGGAUACAGGUGGUGCAUGGUUGUCGUCAGCUCGUGUCGUGAGAUGUUGGGUUAAGUCCCGCAACGAGCGCAACCCUUAUUAUCAGUUGCCAGCAUUAAGUUGGGCACUCUGGUGAGACUGCCGGUGACAAACCGGAGGAAGGUGGGGAUGACGUCAAAUCAUCAUGCCCCUUAUGACCUGGGCUACACACGUGCUACAAUGGAUGGUACAACGAGUUGCGAACUCGCGAGAGUAAGCUAAUCUCUUAAAGCCAUUCUCAGUUCGGAUUGUAGGCUGCAACUCGCCUACAUGAAGUCGGAAUCGCUAGUAAUCGCGGAUCAGCAUGCCGCGGUGAAUACGUUCCCGGG
rnacentral:rRNA from 2 species